CCAAGAAGGCGGUAUCUCUCAAAAGCCUCUGGUGUCACGUACUCAGCUACAGCCAUGUGACGCUUAGACGGCCGCAUAUACUGGCCGAACGUCAUAACAUCAACCCCCGCCGCUCUCACUUUCUCCAUAGUCUUGACCACUUGAUCAGGAGUCUCCCCACAUCCCAGAACAUCACCCCCCGCCGCUCUCACUUUCUCCAUAGUCUUGACCACUUGAUCAGGAGUCUCCCCACAUCCCAGCAUCACCGACGUCUUCGUCAAGGUCCCUGCAGGCGCAUGCUGCUUAGCCAUCCUAAGCACAUCCAUCGACUGCUUAAAGUUAGCACGGUGAUCCCUCACAAAGCUCUGAAGCUCCUCAACCGUCUCAAUAUUGUGCGCAAAGACGUCAAGCCCUGACUUCGCCACCUUCUCAACACAUCCACCAUCUCCCCGAAAAUCAGGAACUAUAUAUAUACAAAUCAAACAUCAAGAAAACAAAAAACUCAUAAAUUAAUUAAAGACGUCGUCGUAGUCAGUGAGGUUACCUAGAGCUUCUAUCAGCAUCUCCGGCUUCAAAGCUUUCAAUCUCUGCACAGUUUGUGCAAAAUGUCCACUCCCCUGAUCAGGCAGAUCGUCACGGUCUACACUGGUGAUGACGACGUAAUCAACACCCCACGAUGCGAUUGCUUCAGCCACGU
rnacentral:lncRNA from 1 species